UGGGGAAUUUUUCGCAAUGGGGGAAACCCUGACGAAGCAACGCCGCGUGGAGGAUGAAGGCCUUCGGGUCGUAAACUCCUGUCGACCGGGACGAAAGUAGUCUGGCCCAAUACGCCGGGCUAUCGACUGUACCGGUGGAGGAAGCCACGGCUAACUCUGUGCCAGCAGCCGCGGUAAUACAGAGGUGGCAAGCGUUGUUCGGAAUUACUGGGCGUAAAGGGCGCGUAGGCGGUCCUGUAAGUCCUGUGUGAAAUCCCCCGGCUCAACUGGGGAAUUGCACGGGAAACUGCGGGGCUUGAGUUCGGGAGAGGGAAGCGGAAUUCCGGGUGUAGCGGUGAAAUGCGUAGAUAUCCGGAGGAACACCGGUGGCGAAGGCGGCUUCCUGGACCGACACUGACGCUGAGGCGCGAAAGCUAGGGGAGCAAACGGGAUUAGAUACCCCCGUAGUCC
rnacentral:rRNA from 1 species